rnacentral:rRNA from 1 species
AGAACGAACGCUGGCGGCAUGCCUAACACAUGCAAGUCGAACGCCUGUAGCAAUACAGGAGUGGCAGACGGGUGAGUAACACGUAGGAAUCUACCCAGUAGUCUGGAAUAACCGCGGGAAACUGCGGCUAAUACCGGAUACGCCCCCCGGGGGAAAGGAGCAAUCCACUAUUGGAGGAGCCUGCGUCUGAUUAGCUAGUUGGCGGGGUAACGGCCCACCAAGGCGACGAUCAGUAGCUGGUUUGAGAGAACGACCAGCCACACUGGGACUGAGACACGGCCCAGACUCCUACGGGAGGCAGCAGUGGGGAAUAUUGGACAAUGGGGGAAACCCUGAUCCAGCAAUGCCGCGUGGGUGAUGAAGGCCUUCGGGUUGUAAAGCCCUUUUGGCGGGACGAUGAUGACGGUACCGCAGAAGAGCCCCGGCUAACUUCGUGCCAGCAGCCGC